rnacentral:rRNA from 1 species
CCUACGGGAGGCUGCAGUAGGGAAUAUUGCACAAUGGGGGAAACCCUGAUGCAGCGACGCCGCGUGGGGGAAGAAGGAUUUCGGAAUGUAAACCCCUAUUGGUAGGGAAGAAAAUGACGGUACCUGACGAAUAAGCACCGGCUAAAUCCGUGCCAGCAGCCGCGGUAAUACGGAGGGGGCAAGCGUUAUCCGGAUUCACUGGGCGUAAAGGGCGCGUAGGCGGGAUAGCAAGUCUGAUGUGAAAGGCUGGGGCUCAACCAGAGAACUGCAUUGGAAACUGUUAGUCUAGAGUAUGGGAGAGGUAGGCGGAAUUCUUGGUGUAGCGGUGAAAUGCGUAGAUAUCAAGAGGAAUACUCGUGGCGAAGGCGGCCUACUGGACCAUAACUGACGCUGAGGCGCGAAAGCGUGGGGAGCAAACAGGAUUAGAUACCCUAGUAGUC